UACGAAGGGGGCUAGCGUUGUUCGGAUUUACUGGGCGUAAAGCGCACGUAGGCGGAUUGUUAAGUCGGGGGUGAAAUCCUGGAGCUCAACUUCAGAAUUGCCUUCGAUACUGGCUUUCUAGAGGCUGGAAGAGGUUAGUGGAAUUCCCAGUGUAGAGGUGAAAUUCGUAGAUAUUCGCAAGAACACCAGUGGCGAAGGCGGCUCACUGGCCCGAUACUGACGCUGAGGCACGAAAGCGUGGGGAGCAAACAGGG
rnacentral:rRNA from 1 species